CUCCUCGUCUUAAAAUUUUUGAGAAAAAAAAAAAAAAAAAAAAAGACAAGAGAACCGGAGAAGACAUCACUUCUGACGCCUAAAAGCGCAAUGAAGUGAGAAGUAAGGCCUCUUAAAAAAAUAAAAAUUAAGGAGAGAAGCUAAAAUA
rnacentral:rRNA from 1 species